CUCGUAGGCGGUCUGUCGCGUCGGGAGUGAAAACUCAGGGCUUAACCCUGAGCCUGCUUCCGAUACGGGCAGACUAGAGGUAUGCAGGGGAGAACGGAAUUCCUGGUGUAGCGGUGAAAUGCGCAGAUAUCAGGAGGAACACCGGUGGCGAAGGCGGUUCUCUGGGCAUUACCUGACGCUGAGGAGCGAAAGUGUGGGGAGCGAACA
rnacentral:rRNA from 1 species